GGGGGUAUAGCUCAGCUGGGAGAGCGACGCCUUUGCAAGGCGUAGGUCAGGGGUUCGAACCCCCUUACCUCCACCA
rnacentral:tRNA from 1 species